rnacentral:rRNA from 1 species
GCUUCCCUCUGUCGGCGUGCCUAAUACAUGCAAGUCGAGCGAACGGACGAGAAGCUUGCUUCUCUGAUGUUAGCGGCGGACGGGUGAGUAACACGUGGAUAACCUACCUAUAAGACUGGGAUAACUUCGGGAAACCGUAGCUAAUACCGGAUAAUAUUUUGAACCGCAUGGUUCAAAAGUGUAAGACGGUCUUGCUGUCACUUAUAGAUGGAUCCGCGCUGCAUUAGCUAGUUGGUAAGGUAACGGCUUACCAAGGCAACGAUGCAUAGCCGACCUGAGAGAGUGAUCGGCCACCCUGGAACUGAGACACGGUCCAGACUCCUACGGGAGGCAGCAGUAGGGAAUCUUCCGCAAUGGGCGAAAGCCUGACGGAGCAACGCCGCGUGAGUGAUGAAGGUCUUCGGAUCGUAAAACUCUGUUAUUAGGGAAGAACAUAUGUGUAAGUAACUGUGCACAUCUUGACGGUACCUAAUCAGAAAGCCACGGCUAACUACGUG